rnacentral:ncRNA from 2 species
UUUAUACAUUCGCAGCAAGGUGCCAAUGGAGCGAUUCGCUCCGCACGGCUUAAUAGGGAAUCUGGUGAAAGUCCAGAACUGUCCCCGCAACUGUAAAUGCGGACGAAAUGAAAUCGCCACUGUACGGUACGAUGGCAUGCGCCGUUUGCCGUAUGGGAAGGUUCAGAGUAGGAUGAAGCAUGAGUCAGUAGACCUGCCUUGCCUGCUUAUGCGUU